rnacentral:rRNA from 1 species
UACGGAGGGAGCUAGCGUUGUUCGGAAUUACUGGGCGUAAAGCGCACGUAGGCGGCUUUGUAAGUGAGAGGUGAAAGCCCGGGGCUCAACUCCGGAACUGCCUUUAAGACUGCAUCGCUUGAAUCCAGGAGAGGUGAGUGGAAUUCCGAGUGUAGAGGUGAAAUUCGUAGAUAUUCGCAAGAACACCAGUGGCGAAGGCGGCUCACUGGCCCGGUACUGACGCUGAGGUGCGAAAGCGUGGGGAGCAAACAGG